GUGGUCGCUAGCUAUUGCCGUGUAAAGCCCCCUUCGACGAGUCGAGUUGUUUGGGAAUGCAGCUCUAAAUGGGAGGUAAAUUUCUUUCUAAAGCUAAAUAUUGGCCAGAGACCGAUAGCGCACAAGUAGAGUGAUCGAAAGAUGAAAAGCACUUUUGGAAAGAGAGUCAAACAGCACGUGAAAUUUGUUGAAAGGGAAGCGCUUGCAGCCAGACUUGCUUGCAGUUGCUCAUCCGGGCUUUUGCCCGGUGCACUCUUCUGCAGGCAGGCCAGCAUCAGUUUGGGCGGUGGGAUAAAGGUCUCUGACACGUUCCUUCCUUCGGGUUGGCCAUAUAGGGGAGACGUCAUACCACCAGCCUGGACUGAGGUCCGCGCAUCUGCUAGGAUGCUGGCGUAAUGGCUGUAAGCGGCCCGUCUUGAAACACGGACCAAGGAGUCUAACAUCUAUGCGAGUGUUUGGGUGUCAAGCCCGAGCGCGUAAUGAAAGUGAACGGAGGUGGGAACCCGCAAGGGUGCACCAUCGACCGAUCCUGAAGUUUACGGAAGGAUUUGAGUAAGAGCAUGGCUGUUGGGACCCGAAAGAUGGUGAACUAUGCUUGAAUAGGGUGAAGCCAGAGGAAACUCUGGUGGAGGCUCGCAGCGGUUCUGACGUGCAAAUCGAUCGUCAAAUUUGGGCAUAGGGC
rnacentral:rRNA from 1 species